GUGAGGAAUAUUGGUCAAUGGACGAGAGUCUGAACCAGCCAAGUCGCGUGAAGGAAGACGGUUCUAUGAAUUGUAAACUUCUUUUGUGCAGGAAUAAAGUGGGUUACGUGUAACCUUUUGUAUGUACUGUACGAAUAAGGAUCGGCUAACUCCGUGCCAGCAGCCGCGGUAAUACGGAGGAUCCGAGCGUUAUCCGGAUUUAUUGGGUUUAAAGGGUGCGUAGGUGGAUUGAUAAGUCAGCGGUGAAAGUUUGCAGCUUAACUGUAAAAUUGCCGUUGAAACUGUCGGUCUUGAGUGCAAAUGAGGUAGGCGGAAUGUGUUGUGUAGCGGUGAAAUGCUUAGAUAUAACACAGAACUCCGAUUGCGAAGGCAGCUUACUGGGAUGCAACUGACACUGAUGCACGAAAGCGUGGGGAUCAAACAGGAUUAGAAACCCCGGUAGUCC
rnacentral:rRNA from 1 species